rnacentral:lncRNA from 1 species
AGUCCUUCUAGGUCAUGUGGAGUGGGCCAGCUUUAAUGAACCUGUCUAAAAGGAAGGAAGAGAAAGAGCUCAGCUCCUUAGGGGAACAAGGUGGACCUUGGCAGCUGUCUCACUCCUCACCAGCUCUUCACCUCAGAUCUUGUCCUGACUUCCUGGUCCACUAACGGCCUCCUGGAUAGAAGAGUCAGUUCACCAGCCCAGGAGAUGUUCUGAAAAUUGACAAUGAUCAUGAUAUACCCUGGAUCCAGAAUACUUCUCUAUACAAUGGGCAGAGAACAAAGAUUGGUGGCUUCCUCCUGAGCACACUGGGAUGUGGCAUUACAUCGGGGCUGCUGAGUGCCCUUACCUUCAGCUGCCCAGAUGCAGAGGCAGGUGGGUGGGGCCAGGGAGUUUGAUGCUUCACCUCCUUAAGUGAGAACUGCAUCAUGCAAACAGUCAGCUCUCAGCCAGAUGGCACCACAAGGUUCUGUGAAUUUCUCUCAGCACAACAAGCACAUCUGCCAGUUGGGUUCC